rfam:Stegodyphus mimosarum contig55149, whole genome shotgun sequence.
AAAAUGGCUGUAUUUACAGCCACCAAAUUUUAAGCACAGUUAGUCCU